GAUGAACGCUAGCGGCAGGCUUAAUACAUGCAAGUUGAGGGGCAGCAUGAUAUACGCGAGUAUAUUGAUGGCGACCGGCGGACGGGUGAGUAAUAGGUAGGAGACCUACCUCAUACAGGGGGAUAGCAUAGAGAAAUCUGUGGUAAUACCCCAUGAGGUUAUAUGAAUAGAGGCAUAUAAUCAAAGCAUAAGCGAUUAUGCGGUAUGAGAGGGGCCUACUGACCAUUAGCUAGUUGGUGAGGUAAGGGCUCACCAAGGCGAAGAUGGUUAGGGGUUUUGAGAGAGAGACCCCCCACAUUGGAACUGAGAGACGGUCCAGACUCCUACGGGAGGCAGCAGUAGGGAAUAUUGGGCAAUGGGCGAAAGCCUGACCCAGCCAUGCCGCGUGAAGGAAGACGGCCUUAUGGGUUGUAAACUUCUUUACUACGCGAAUAGAGGUUAGUACGAGAUACUAAUAGGAAGGUAGUAGUAGUAAAAGCACCGGCUAACUCCGUGCC
rnacentral:rRNA from 1 species